CGCGACCCCCAGGUCAG
rnacentral:rRNA from 1 species